rnacentral:rRNA from 1 species
UACGUAGGGUGCGAGCGUUGUCCGGAAUUAUUGGGCGUAAAGAGCUCGUAGGCGGUGUGUCGCGUCGGCCGUGAAAACCUGGGGCUUAACUCUGGGCGUGCGGUCGAUACGGGCAUCACUAGAGUUCGGCAGGGGAGACUGGAAUUCCUGGUGUAGCGGUGAAAUGCGCAGAUAUCAGGAGGAACACCGGUGGCGAAGGCGGGACUCUGGGCCGAUACUGACGCUGAGGAGCGAAAGCGUGGGGAGCAAACAGG